AUGCUUCUCCUAAAGACUAAGCCAUGCAUGCUCUGAAUAUGAGGAAGCAAUUCUCUCUGAAUCUGCGAACGGCUCCGCAAACCAGUUGUAAACCAAAGCAAGCUUGCUCGGGUUGGGCUUCGGCCUGGCCUGGGUGAUACGGAUAACCCUGGUAAUUCUAAGGCUAAUACGUGUAUGGAACACCCGGUGGACCGGCCUUGUGCUGGGAAACCGGGAGGCGAGGGAUUGAAUGUUUGGAUUACCAGGAACGGGCG
rnacentral:rRNA from 1 species